rnacentral:lncRNA from 1 species
UGAAUUAAGGUCGUACAAUAUCCCUAACACAAAGUUAAGUAUAAAACUUUCUUUCCGGUACAGUUUCGAUAUGAGUUUUAUUAGAGCCAACUUCAAAUGGACAUAUGUCAUAGAAUUUAAAGAUAUAUGGGUACCAAUACCUAUAAAAUUAAAGAUCUCCGAGUCAUCUUUCCAACGCAAUAAACCAUUCCACAAUCCGAAUUCGGAGUAAAAAGUUAUGACUUUUUUACUGAGUACUGUCCGGGCUGAAGCGGGAUUUUGCUGUAGCAAAAAUUUUGAUGGUAUUUAAAUUAGCUUCAGCCGUAUUUUAAGUCUAAAAACCUCAAAUUUCAUUCUCCAACCCUAUAGAGGUUAUUUCCCAAUGAUUAAGGUGAAAUUCUUUCGUUGAGGUAAGUUUUUCCAUUGUUUUCAUCGUUUUUUAAUCCUUUAACAUCUUAGAAUCUAUAGAAAGACUGUUAAUGGUGGAAUCCUUUUGGGAAAUACUCAUUGGUGUUUUUAAUAUAACAUAAAACUUAUUCUAAACUGUAAAUUAAAGAUUCCUAACAUGAAUUUCAUAAACUAGAUUAUGAGUUUUGAUGGUUAGGAACCUUGAAUUCUGUAAAAAUGAGACCUUUAGCAUAAAAACUCCAUUAAUGAAGAUGGGUUAAUCUUGAAAGAGCUAAUUAAUGGCUAAUUAACAUUGGGGAUUGAUAUAAAACUUGAAUUAAGGGUAGAAUUAGUGGGUUUGAAUUCCCAAGAUACUUGUUUAAAGAGUAAAUAUUUAAUUACUCUUAUUAUUGCUUGAUUUUUAGAUGGUUGAUUAUUCCAAGGCAUGAAGAAGAGAAAUAAAUUUCUUAUUGUGGCUUUCUUCAUUCAAAAGCUUGGCGUCCAGGUAGGCUAGGUUUAAUGAGUAGAAAAUUGUGUUAUUUUAUAUUUUCUUAAUUUAGAAUUGAUGGGAAAAAGCAUGUCUAGGCCAGCGAGCAUGGAGUUGAGGUGGAUAAAGACAUGAGUACUUAACUUUAAUCCCAGAAACUAUAUUAUGGAUUGAUUAUGUGAUAUUUAUGAUAUAGUGUGUUAUGUGCCUGAAAGGAGAUUGUUGUAAACGUAGUAUAUGAACAUGAUGUUUUUUUAGUUGUUCUAGUGAUGAACCUAGUUGAGUUGUAAUGGUAUAAGGUUCUAUGUAUUGUACAAUAAUAUGAUGAGGAGAUUUAUGCUAAUAUCAAAUAUUGAUGAUGAUACACUAACAACGUGGAUUGUACCAAAACAAUAACAAAAACAGUUUACAAACACAAUACAAAACCGAGACAAGUUGGAAACAAGUCCAAAAACCAAGAAUGCUACAUAAUGAUGAGAUAGUAACGUGUAUAACCACACCAACGAUUAUAAACGAUCAUAAGACUACAAUGAACAAAGGAUAGAUAGUUAGACCUUGGUUGGUAUAAUCUUAAGAACCCAAGAACAUGUGAUACUCUUCGACCCUUAACAUUACACGCAACAGUUAACCUAACUCCUACAUUUACAUAAGAGGGACUUUACCUCCUCUAAAAACCAACGUUUCUAAGCCUUGAAUGCAACACAAGUGAAAUCCAUACUUGUGAAAGCCCAGUUACAAGUUUCGGCCAUAGGGGCCUUUCUCACAAGAGAGAAGUGUUUUCAAAGUGUUAUACAACUUACAAAUAUCAUCAAAGUCUAAGACAAAAUGACCUACAAUGUUUUAUUUAUACUAGGUCACAACUAAAACUCAAAAUGACCAAGAGACCCUUUAAUGAAAAGCCUCAAAAUGCAGCCCAUGGAGUGUAGUGUAGGUACAAUUUUGGUGUGUGUUUUAGGCCCUCUUUUACAUUUUUCUUGCACACUCCAAGCUUCAGGUUCAUUACACUUUCACACGUCCAUCCUCGUAGUUGUACUUGUAUUAGAUGAGCACAGUAAUAUCUAAGGGAUAGAUGACUUGAAUUAGUGUGAUGAUUGUAUUAUGUGGAAAGAGGUAGCGGAUAAUGAUACACGUGAAUGUGCUAAUUAUAGGUGGUGAUGUUAGCACCUAAGUUGCGGAAUUUAAGAAGAUAAUGAUAUUUUUAAUAAUAAAUGAGUCAUUAAGGCUCCAAUAGUAACUUGCAUGCUUAAGUAUUAAAUUGUGAUUUAUUUUAUGAUAUUCUAAUUUUGGUAUUGAUAAAAGCAUUAUAUUUAUUGGAUGCCCAUGAGAGGCUAAAUUGGUGAUAAUGAUGGUUUAUUGAAUUGUGUCUAUUAGUGGUUUGUUUGAUAAUGAUAACUUGUAUUAAUGCCAUGAAUAACUUAUUGAUGUUUGGAUUGUUGAUGCGUGUAUAAAUGAUUAUUGAAAAUUUACUUGAUGGAAUUGUCUUAUGACUUUAAGUAUACUUGUAAACAUGGUACAUUGUGUUUUAUGCUAUGCGGUUGUGUAAAUUUGAUAUUGAUAAUACUUGUGUAUAUUGGAUCAGGUGCCACACCGACACGGAUAUAUAUAUGUUGGAUUGGGUACCACUCUGGUACAAAUAUGUAUAUGUUGGAUCGGGUACCACGUUGGUAUGGAUAUGUAUAUGUUGGAUCAGAUUCAACGCCGGUACGUAUAUGUUUAUGUUGGAUCGGGUACCACUCCGGUACGGAUAUAUUUUUGUUGAAUCGGGUACCAUGCCGGUACGGAUAUAUGUAUGUUGGAUCGGGUACCACGUUGAUACAGAUAUAUGUAUGUUGGAUCGGGUACCACACCGAUACGGAUAUGUAUAUGAUAGAUUGGGUACCACACCGGUACGAAUAUGAAUAUGGUGGAUCGGGUACCACACCGGAAUAGUACAUGAACAUAAAUUGUUCCCUGCAGGUCAUGACUAUUUGGGAAAAAAAAGUCUCAUAGCAUGUGUGUACAUGUUUGUGUUAAGUGUGUGAAUGUUUACAGGAUGGUAGAUACUCUUAAUGGUUAUGUGGCUUGUUUUUUAGCGUUAUUUGAUAUGUUAUUGUUGUCUUGUUGAUUCAUUAGGUAUUUGAUUGUGUGUUAUAUAUUUGAAAAAAUGAAAAUUUGUACUUACUUAUAUGUUGGUUGACUUGCUUCAUUUAUAUAUUUUUUAAUCGUAGCUUACCAAAAUGGCUAGUUAUCAUUCUUUAAUAUUAUAAUAGGGCAUUUCGUUGUUAGCCGGAAGUUUAGUGUGAGUUAUCUACGAUUGCAAAUUUGUUUCUGUGAAUAUGAGUAAUGAAAGAGAUAUGGUGAAUAAAGAGGAAUAGUGAUGUAUUAGCGUUGAAUUGUGGUUGAUGGUGUAAAUUAAUAAAGCUAAAGUAUGUUAGUAGCGAAUAUAAUAUUGAUGGUGUUGGAAGAGUAGUUGGAUGUUGUAACUUAUUUAGGUAAAGUUAUAAUAUUAUUUCAAUCUUAGUUGAAUUAUAUUCCAUUUAAGAUGUCAUGAUUAAUUUUCGUUAAUUCUAUUUUAUGAUUAUAUGAACUAACACGAUGGGUUGAUGAUGCCUACCAGUCAGUGUGGUUGUACUGAUCCUACUUUUCUACUUUCCUUCUUGGGGUGUAGACUGGAUGCAGGUUAGUUGCAGUUACUAGAUGGAUGACGAUAUUCAACACUAACUUCUGCACUUACUUCUUGGCAGAUGUUAGAGUCUUUGUAUAAUUUAUUUUAUUGUUAGUCUAUGUUGUAGUAGAUAACUCUUGUACAUGUCUGACCAAGUUUUGGGAUAGUAAAGGCUUUGUAAGAAGCGUUUUAAGAAAACUUUAUUUCUUAGUAUUUAGUUUACUUUAUUAUAGUUAAGUAUUUUCUUAAAAACAGAAGUGUUCCACAUAUUUUUAGUUGGGUAAUAAGGGUUCUCCUAGCUACUUAGAAUAGCGUAGGUGCCCGCAUGAUCUAUUAAUCUGGGUCGUGACAGUUGGUAUCAGAGCGUUAGGUUCACCGAUCCCACAAGUACAAGAUCAAUGUCAAAUAGAGUUUCAUAGAUUGGUGUGUAGGGCCCCACAUCCAAUCUUCAGAAGGUUAUGAGGCAUGUAGAAAUCAUUUUCCUUUCUUUUUCUCCAUCGUGCCAUCUUAAUUUUGGACUAUUAGAUUGAAUCCAAUUGGUAUCCAGAUAAUUCUAAUUGGUAUCUUAACAGAGCUCAAUUGAAAUGUAGUUAAUUCCAAUUGGUAUCUUCGUAAUUUUGAAUAAAUAUCUUGAAGAUUUUUAUUGGCAUCUGUUAAUAAGGUCUAAAAGUUAUUGUUAAUAGGUAAAGACUUGUGAAAGUUGUGAACUUAUUGAUUGCUUGUGUUUGAUAUUUGGCUAAACUUGUGUUGCUAGAUUUUUGCCAUUGUUGUGAAUUGUUUUUGUUUGAAUUUAAGUGAUAAAAAUUUACGAAGUUGUUUUUGUUGUUAAUUGUGAUGGAAUUAUUUGAUUUCUUGUUAUUGUGAAACUAGAAAUUUUAUGGUGCUUACCUUUUUUUUGUACUAUUAUACUAAUAAAAUUAAUGAUAUGAGAAUUGAGAGUAUGAUAUGAGAGCAUGAUGUCAAGAAAAGAUGGUGAAAAACUUACAUAAAUAAAAGACUGAGGUGAAAUGUGUUUUUCUGUAAUGAGGGAUUUUUGUUAAUAAUGUGGUGGAUAGAUCCUUGUGUGGUUCAAUUAUUUGAUAUUAUGUGGGGAUCCUUAUGUGGUCCGAACAUUGAGACUUAUUGAAAUUAUAAUAGGUUCCUUGUGAGGACUAGCUAAGUGACAUUAUUUUUGAGGUACUUAUGGGAAUAGAUUUUUAAUGCUUGGCAAAAUAAUGAGUUUCAAAUAAAGGUGAAAAAAAUUAGUAGAGGUUGUUGAUACCUAUAGAAUUUGAUCGAUUGGAUAACUUGUCUGGAAUGUGAUAUUGGUGAUGAGACUGUUAAUAGUCUGUAAUUGAUUUAUUUUAUUUGGCCUUGUUUAUGUAUUGGUGGUGUGGAAGCCACUCUUGAGGUAUUUACGAGUUAAGUAAAGCCCGUAAUAAAAAUAUUGUUAUAUAAAAGUAAGAAUAACUCUGUAUAUCAUAAAUUGGUAUUAGUGAUAUUGGGGUGUUUUGGCUUGACAAUGAAGUGUUUUAUUUUGGUCGAACAGAACAAAUUUUAUUUUCUUCAAACUCAUCUUUACAAACAGUUUACAUCCUUUGUCACAAAGUCUGGGACAUCUCUACAUAUAAUUUCCCUAUCCACUUUCUAUCUUUACAAGUAAUCCUACUAUGUACGAUUUGAAACUUCUAUAUUUACAAUCUUCUUUUAUCUUUUUCACUACCACCUAAGGGCUAGGGAUAUUGUUUUCCCAUAAGGCUGAAUUUCUUGCUUGCCAAAUGUGGUAGAUUAGAGAUGCGAUUACUGCCCAGAGCAUUCGUCUGCUUAUUCUUCCCAUUGCAUACCUUGAUACUCUUCUCCAAAUUCCUUUCACAUCUCUCACUUGCGGCGCUAUCCCUAGCCAUAACCGUAUUUCCGUUUAGACACAGCUUGGAGAAAUAGCAAUCGAAGAACAAAUGUUCUAUUGUUUCAGGCUCUGCAUCACAUAUGAGACAGGAUUUGGUGUUGCAAACUCCCUACUGCAUUAGUUUCACUCGUGUCUGCACUCUUUCUUACAUCACCAACCAGCAUAUGAAGCUAUGUUUGGGAUGUUGGUUACAUUCCAUACACCCCUCCACCAUAGCCAGUCUUGCAAUCUACCCCUCUUCCAGUUAUACCCACUCUUUAUAGAGUAAACGCCUCCUGCUUUCAGCAAAUCAUUCUGUACAUAUCCAGGUAGAAACUUAUCUUUUAUGGAACAUAUUUUUUCUAGUACCAACUACAAUCCUUUAGUGCUUUAUAAUCUCUCAAAGACCCCCUUUAAAUAGACACGAUCUACCUAUUUCACCCAUAAACUAUCAGUGUUGUUUGCUACAUUCCACACAUGUUUUAAAAUAGCAGCUUCAUUCCAUGUUAUGCAAUUAGUGAUACCUAAUCCUCCCUCCAUUUUAUCUCUGCAAAUCAUGUCCCAUGCUAUCACCGGGGCUCUAUUUGUGUGUAACCUUUCACUCUAUAAAAAAUUUCUCUAUAUGGAUAUAAUAUUCUUCAAGACACCUUUUGGUAUUAGGAAUAUAGUGCACCAAUAUGUAUGUAGGUGCAUCAAGACAGAGUUUACCAGCUGCGAUUUUCCUGCAUACGAUAGAUUUUUGCUCCCCAAAAUAUGUACCCUGCAAGUCAGUUUCUCUACCAGAAUUUCAUAGUCCAUAGUAGUAAUUCUUUUGGGUGAUAUAGGAACCCCCAAGUAUUUGAAAGGCAUCUUGCUGGCUGUAUAACCAGUCAUCUCACAUAUGUACUUCAACACAUUUGCAUUCAUGUUUGCAGAGAAUAUGUUUGAUUUGCUGGCAUUUGUGGUUAAACCUGAGGAAGCUGAGAAAGUACUUAAACCCCUUAGUAUCAAAACUAUAGGUUCCAGCUCCCCUUUACAAAAGACUAACAUAUCAUCAAUGAAGCAUAGGUGGUUUAGCUUCAAGCUUUUGCACUUUGAGUGAAAUUCAAACCCUUUUAUAGUAUCCACCCAGUUCAUGAUUCUUGAGAAGUACUCCGUGCAUAUUACAAACAGCAAUGGGGACAAUGGAUCUCCUUGUCUCAAACCUCUUUUCCCUUGUAUGUGUCCAUAUUCUCCACCAUUAAUAGCAAUUGUGUAUUAGGGUGUUGUGACGCACUCCAUGAUCAACUUAAUAAACCCAUAAGGAAAGUUCAGCCAAUACUACAUUUCUUCCACAAACUUCCAUUCCACAUUAUCAUCAAUUUUAAUCAAACAGCUCUUAGUGGUAGCUAGCCUGUUAUAUAGCCACAGCAAAUCUUUACAAAUCAUAAUAUUUUGUACUAUGGAUCUUCCAGCUACAAAAGCACUUUGAGUGUUGGAUAUGAUUUCAGGUAACACUUUCUGCAAUCUUUUACAUACCAUCUUUGAGAUUAUCUUGUAUAAUUUGUUGCAGCAAGAUAUAGGUCUGUAAUCCAUCACUGAUUCUCCAUGUAUACUCUUAGGGAUUAAUAUUAUAACAGUGUUGUUUAUUCCUUUUAAUAGCUGACCAGUUUUGAAGAAUUCUAGCACCCCUUCUGUUACAUCACUCCCAAUUAUAUCCCAGGCAUCCUUGUAGAAUUUUCUUUCAUAUCCAUCUGGCGCUGGGGCUUUAUCUCCGUCAAUCGACCAUAAUGCCUCUUUAACCUCUUUUGCAGUAUAUGGCUGGUCUAGCAGGUCCCUUUGUUCACCUGAUAUCCUUGGCCCUUUCAUGAUGAUAUUUCUAUUUGUACUGAUCCUUUAGUUCUUUUUGGUACCCAACAGCACGGUAUAGUAAUUAAUGAAAGCUUUUCUAAUUGCAUCUAUAUCCUUCUGCCAAUACCCAUUUUCAUCCAUUACUGUUAAGAUUCUGUUUUUUGCCUUCUUCCUUUCAAUGCAUUGUCAAAGAAGGCAGUGUUUUGGUCUCCAUCUCUUAACUAUUUCACCUUGCUGUUUUGCUGCAAGAACUAGUUUUGUACAAUCUGCAGCUAUGCAUAUUCUUUGGAUAACAUCGUUUCUUCCAUAAUUAGAUUUUCGUGGGCCUUGUUGUAUCUUUAUUUGACAUUCACAUUCUUGCUGCUUUCGUCCUCUGUUCUAUAGCACUGAACCUCUCUUCAUAUAGCUUUUGCAAUAUAUGUUUCAAUCUAUUCAGUUUCCCAACCACUUGAAAUAGCUUCCGUCCUCUAGUUGCACCCAACCAGCUGUUCUUCACCCUUUUCUUGAAAUCAGGGGCAAGGCUCCACAUGUUAAAAUAUCGAAAAUGGGGUUUUUUUGCAUUGUUCUUGUAACGCCCCGGAAAACGGGUCCCGGAGCGUCACACAGUGCUUGAGGCUACGAGUAGCCCCAAGCCAAUCCUUUGAGCCAUUUUUAUUCAGUUCAACACAAAUCAACGGAGUUUCCAUAAAUAACCAUCAAAUAUAAACAGAGUAAUCAUUAUCCAAGAAUAAAAGAAUUUCAGAAAGAUAACAAAAUACGACUUAUUAGUCAACUCCCAACAUCUAUACUAGUCUGACAAGCCUCUAAGAAAAUCAAUAAAACCAGGAGCCAUUGAGACAUGCCCCAACUAAAUCAUACUUAGUUAUCAAAUGUAAACAAUUCCGUGAAACCAACAUCAGACAUCACGUCCUCGGAACAUGAGGACUCACCACGACAAAGGAUGUAGAACAGCGUGCCCUAAGAAUCACUAUUGAACCUGGAACUGAGCACCUGAACCUACAGUCCGAGAAAAUGCAGCCCACAUCCGAAGAUGUGGGUCAGUACCAUGGAAAGGAACCGAGUAUAUGGGGGUGUAUGCAGUUUUAUAAACAUCAUCAUCAUAAAUAUUUAUAAGAAAUAUGCAGGAUGUAUGAAAGAUUCACAUAGCCCGAAGAAAAUCAUCAUAAUCAUGAGACGAUGAAAUAAAUACAAUAACACAUGUGAUUCAUCAUAUAAUUUGUCAAUCACUUUCAGUUCAUCAAGAAUAUCAAUUCUCAUAAUGUAAAUAUCAUUUAAAUUUUUCGAAAGAAUAACUUUCACAAUUCCACUUUCAAAUCACUUCACCAUUCACCAUAGACACAAGGAAACACACACACUUCUUGAAGUUCUUGAACUAGGAACUUGGAAUCUUGAAUAAAUUUGCAGAAUUAAUGGUGAACUUUGGAGGUUCUUGAAGUUCUUGAACUAGGAACUUGGAAUCUUGAAUAAAUUUGCAGAAUUAAUGGUGAACUUUGGAGGUUCUUGAAGUUCUUGAACUAGGAACUUGGAAUCUUGAAUAAAUUUGCAGAAUUAAUGGUGAACUUUGGAGGUUCUUGAAGUUCUUGAACUAGGAACUUGGAAUCUUGAAUAAAUUUGCAGAAUUAAUGGUGAACUUUGGAGGUUCUUGAAGUUCUUGAACUAGGGACUUGGAAUCUUGAAUAAAUUUGCAGAAUUAAUGGUGAACUUUGGAGGUUCUUGAAGUUCUUGAACUAGGAACUUGGAAUCUUGAAUAAAUUUGCAGAAUUAAUGGUGAACUUUGGAGGUUCUUGAAGUUCUUGAACUAGGAACUUGGAAUCUUGAAUAAAUUUGUAGAAUUAAUGGUGAACUUUGGAGGUUCUUGAAGUUCUUGAACUAGGGACUUGGAAUCUUGAAUAAAUUUGCAGAAUUAAUGGUGAACUUUGGAGGUUCUUGAAGUUCUUGAACUAGGAACUUGGAAUCUUGAAUAAAUUUGCAGAAUUAAUGGUGAACUUUGGAGGUUCUUGAAGUUGGAUAUAGGAGCUUAGGAUUUUCUUUUUGAGGGAAUUUGAUGAAAUAUAACAUAUAAUGCUUCUAAUAGGCUUUAAUAUAGGGUUUGGACGGAUUUUGGGUGAGGAUGAAUGACCAAAACGCCCCUAAAAAUUAAAUAAUUCUCGAAUCUGUCCUUUGGUGGACUGUUUUAAUAGUCUGAAAUAGAUCAACCAUAACGUUUUACUCCGAUAUUCAAAUUGGAUGAAACCAAUUUCAUUAGAAAGAGGACUCUCAUCUCUUUCCGUUGAUAUAUAGUAUAUCACCCAAAUCAUUGUGUACGAGGGAUUAUGAUCGUUUGAAGUUGACCCAAAAUUUCGCUUUUGAUAGGCUGAAGUAGAUCGACCAUAACUUUUUGCUCCGAUAGACAAAUUGGAUGAAACCAAUUUCAUUGGAAAGAGGACUCGUAGAGCUUUUCAUUAAUAUAUAGUAGAUCUCCCAGAUCAUUAUGUACAAGGAAUUAUGAUCAUUUAAAGUUGGAGCCAAAAUACGUCAGGCCUCAGUACUUUUUCCUGCACGUUUUACUGUUCACUACUAUUUACGGUUCAAUCGGAAUGUUCAUAAAUCGUCGCUCAGGUGUCCGUUUUGGAUGAUCCACAUAUCGUUGGAAAGAUUUUUCUAUACUAUACGCAAUGGUGGGUCAUAAUCUAAGACAUUCAGCACGGAAAAAUUUAUAAUUCAUUCUAGAAGAUAGAACCCAACACGUUUACGCACAAAAUUUCAACAAAAAAUUUUCUGGGGUAUUACAGUUCUCCCCUGCUCCCAUUUAAUAAUCACUAGGCAGUGAUCAUAUAACCCCCCAGGUAAAAAUUGAGCUUCAGAUGCAGGUAAUUUAGUCAUCCAGUCAUUGUUUACUAGUACUCUAUCAAUCUUGUUGUAGACUCUAUUUGCCCCUUCUUGUUUAUUAUUCCAUGUGAAAAAAUUUCCUGACAAUUUCAGAUCUUUUAGUCCACGACAAUGAAAUGUUUGACGUGUGAAAAAUAUUGAGUUAGUGAUUGCUUGGGCAUAAGUUUUAGCUGUGGAUUUAUGCAUUAGGAAAAAUCUUGAGAAGAUAAAUUAUUGUUGACUUAACCUAGUGGCUGAAUUAUGCAUAUACAUGUCCUGUAGAGUUAGCAGAUAUAUUACUUUUUUAGAGGUUAGUAAUCCCCAUGAUGAUGGAAAUGCAAAAUUAAAUAACUUAGUUACACCUAUAAAAUAAUUAAGAAUGACCCUGAAUAUGGAAAUAAGUGCAUUGUUAAAUGGAAUGAUUGAUCUUUUCUUGGGUGAUACUUGGUGGAUAUUGCUUGUUGAGUGAUUAAGGUAUGAUGAUUAGAUGGAUAUUAACAAUGUUGUGAAGGAGAAUGUGUUGUAGGCUCUAAUUCUGUGGAAUCUCUAUGGCUAAUAGUUGUAAGUUUGUAAUGAGUGAGAGGUUGUGUUGUCACUAUAUAUAGUAGUAAACACUAAUCUUGAAACAGUGAGUGAUCUUGAGGUAAAAGGGAUAGUGGUUGUGAGAUGUUGAAGCUAGCUUUAUAAAAUAAAUUUAGUAGUCUUGAUUGAGUGCAUGCGAGUACCUAAGUUAUGUGACUUAUAAAUGGUGUGGUGACUUGCAUAUGAUCAAAAUGUAGAUUCUCCAUGGGAUAGUCUUGGCUAAAAAUCGAGUCAGGUGUCUCAGGGAGAACCUGUGUAUUGGAUAGAUUAGAUGUGACUUAUCUAGUGUUGAAAAUUUGAGUAGGAGAUUCAUGUAGCAUCUCGUAGCACUUUUCAGAAUUAAAUUUGGGGCUCUAGAGCUUCGGUAGAUAAAAAAAAGAAGGUAUUUUUGAAUGUUUAUCUUCUUCAAGGUGAAUCUUUUAACCAUCUUUAUCGUGCUUUCAUUAAGGUCAAGUUCAGACUUAGGCCGUUGAAAGCAGAAUAAAUGAUUUGUGUGUAAAUAUUUGACUCCGCAUCUUCAUAUUUUGAAAAGCUUUAAUAGAAUGAUUGAGUAUAGAAUGUGGUUGGUCGAUAAGGAUAUCGAGCAAGUGAAUAGGGUGCACUAUAGGCAACUUUAUUAGUAAUGUCUUUCUAAUUCCAACCUUGUAUUUUUCUCCACUAAAUGUCCAUUCGGGGAUGAACGGAUGGUAAAUUGAUAUCUAAUUGUAAGGACCCAUUUUGUCGUUAAUAAAUUAUUCUUGAUAAAUUCAUGAAAUUUCUUAAUUUUCAUUCCUCAAUAUUAACUUGUGUCCAAAAUAGCCAAUAUUUUAUUUAUUACAUUACCUCAAACUUUUCGGCAAAGAUUGUAGCCUUCAGAUGUGUCUAGAUAGACUCAAGCCCAAUGAAUUUAAUUAUUCAUAAGUGAUAAUAUCAAUAUUUUAGUUUGAAAGUUUUUUAGGUGUGAAUUAAGGUCGUACAAUAUCCCUAACACAAAGUUAAGUAUAAAACUUUUCUUUCUGAUAUAGUUUCGAUAUGGGUUUUAUUAGAGCCAACUUUGAACAAACAUAUCUCAUAGAAUAUAAAUAUCUAGGAGUCUCAAUACCUAUCAAAUUAAAGAUAUCGGUGUCCUCUUUCUAACGCAACAAAACGUUCCACAAUCCGAAUUCGGAGUAAAAUGUUAUGACUGUUUAACUAAGUACAAUCUGGGCU